UACGUAGGGUGCAAGCGUUUAAUCGGAAUUACUGGGCGUAAAGCGUGCGCAGGCGGUUAUGUAAGACAGAUGUGAAAUGCCCGGGCUUAACCUGGGAACUGCAUUUGUGACUGCAUGGCUAGAGUUUGGCAGAGGGGGGUAGAAUUCCACGUGUAGCAGUGAAAUGCGUAGAGAUGUGGAGGAACACCGAUGGCGAAGGCAGCCCCCCUGGGUCAAGAUUGACGCUCAUGCACGAAAGCGUGGGGAGCAAACAGG
rnacentral:rRNA from 1 species